UUGAGUUCUGAAUUCCACUCAAAGAAAUGUUAGCAAAAGUGGCUGUUUUGUUUGUUCACUUACCUGGUUUGCUGACUAAAAUAACUAUGUUUUUUUUCUGACCUGAAGCUGCUAUUCUGGGACAUGAGGAUGUCUCUGCUUCUUGCCUGCUGAACUGUGACGACCACCUCAUGCUUCCACUGCAGAGACUGGAUCCCUCCCAGAGCCAGAAGUCCUGGCCACCAUGGACUGAAAGUUCCUGAAAUUGUAAAGCCUUCCUCCUGUGA